GUUUGCUCCGGCAGUACAUAUACUAACAUUGGAACAAUACAGAGAAGAUUAGCAUGGCCCCUGCGUAAGGAUGACAAAGAAAAACAAAGAGAUUGGAGAGAGAGAG